GUACACAAAAAUGCACAUGCUGUGAGCUCGAUGAGUAGGGCGGGACACGUGGUAUCCUGUCUGAAUAUGGGGGGACCAUCCUCCAAGGCUAAAUACUCCUGACUGACCGAUAGUGAACCAGUACCGUGAGGGAAAGGCGAAAAGAACCCCGGCGAGGGGAGUGAAAAAGAACCUGAAACCGUGUACGUACAAGCAGUGGGAGCACAGAGCAAUCUGUGUGACUGCGUACCUUUUGUAUAAUGGGUCAGCGACUUAUAUUCUGUAGCAAGGUUAACCGAAUAGGGGAGCCGAAGGGAAACCGAGUCUUAACUGGGCGUUAAGUUGCAGGGUAUAGACCCGAAACCCGGUGAUCUAGCCAUGGGCAGGUUGAAGGUUGGGUAACACUAACUGGAGGACCGAACCGACUAAUGUUGAAAAAUUAGCGGAUGACUUGUGGCUGGGGGUGAAAGGCCAAUCAAACCGGGAGAUAGCUGGUUCUCCCCGAAAGCUAUUUAGGUAGCGCCUCGUGAAUUCAUCUCCGGGGGUAGAGCACUGUUUCGGCAAGGGGGUCAUCCCGACUUACCAACCCGAUGCAAACUGCGAAUACCGGAGAAUGUUAUCACGGGAGACACACGGCGGGUGCUAACGUCCGUCGUGAAGAGGGAAACAACCCAGACCGCCAGCUAAGGUCCCAAAGUCAUGGUUAAGUGGGAAACGAUGUGGGAAGGCCCAGACAGCCAGGAUGUUGGCUUAGAAGCAGCCAUCAUUUAAAGAAAGCGUAAUAGCUCACUGGUCGA
rnacentral:rRNA from 1 species